GGCGGUGUAGCUCAGCUGGCUAGAGCGUACGGUUCAUACCCGUAAGGUCGGGGGUUCGAUCCCCUCUACCGCCA
rnacentral:tRNA from 2 species